rnacentral:lncRNA from 1 species
UCAGGGUGUUCUCUCCGCAUUCCAAUGCUUCUCCACCUCAUCCUCCAAUGCCUUCCUCUCCAUCCCAAAGAGAUGAGAGUGAAACAAUCACAAACCUUCCUAUCUCUCAUCAAAAUACUUUAGGGGAGGGAUCUCUUCAUUCAAACAUGCAGCCACCAACUUCUUCUCAACCCCGCCAGGUUUCUCCUUCAAACAGCAGGUCUCCUAAUCAGCAUACCUCUAGUGAUCAAGAUAGAGCUGGACCAUCAGAGCUCCAAUCAUUUUCAGAAUCUCUAAAGUCUCGACUAAAUGCUGUCUCAAUGAGGUAUCCCAUCUCUAUCCAGCUGCCUUUGGUCUGUAUAUGUUUUUGUAACAAUCCGAAGUGGUUCCUUAUGAACAAUGUAGAUACAAAGAAUCAAUAUCAAAGAACACAAGGAGCUGGAAAGAUAGAUUCUUUUCACGCAGCACUUCCAUUGCAGAUCUUGGCUCUGAGGUUAAAAGAGAGGUCAGUGCCGGAAUAGCCACUGUGUCCCGCAUGAUGGAACGUUUAGAAACGAGAGAAGACAGUACUAGACCAGGGACUGAACCUGUAUCAGAAAACAACACUAAUGCUGAAUCAAACAAUGAGCAUAGUAGAAGAUCAGAAGCGAGUGAUGAACAUUCUUUGAGUGAAAGAGGUGUUAAAGGAACAUGUGCGGCUGCAUCUGGUUCUAGCUAAUAAAACUAGUGCCAGCAUCUUGUUGGCAAUGGUAUACUGAUUCAGCUUUGGCUUAUCAUGUGGUUGAUCCUCAACAACUAAGAUCUUGUAUUGUUUGUUGUUUCUUUUUCUUUCUUGUCAGAGACGAGAAGAUGUUUUUAUUGUGAAGUUCUGCUAUAUAUAUUGAUAUACUGAGUUGGAAGUUCAGAAUCAGAGGUGUGGGAGCAUUAGGAAGAGAUUUUUCCUAAAAGAAUAAUAAAAAGAUUAUGUGUUGUGUUAUGUCAUAAAAAAAAAACACGCCCGUAUGUUGUUAUGAUAGUUACUUAUGUAUCUUCAGAAGCUUUAGCCGAUGCCCCAAUUUAUUGUAUCUAAUGUUGCUUUUGAUUAGUAGUGCAUUACUUAGAAAGAGAGUUUCAAUCAAAAUCAGAGAACAUAGCUGGAUUUACAAACGAAAUGAGCUUUUAGUUUACAUUCUGUUAAGCACUCAUUUUGAAGGUUUUGUCUUCUUGUACUAGUUUUUUUUUUUGUUUUUGUUGCAAUUCAGUUAAAAGAGCAGAGCCUUGUGCGUUCGAUACAAAACUAGAAUCCGCCCUAAAACACCAGUGACAGCAUAAACUUCAUCUGUCAAUCCAGGAAGAAAAACAAAACAAAGCGAAAAUGGCUUUAUAUCCAAACAUGAAAACAUUCCAAGAAGAGACGUUUCUUGAUAAAAUUGCCUGAAAACCGAAAGUAUGAUGAGUAAGAUGUCGCCUGAAGAGCGUGAGAGGAUGUUUAACAUGGCAUCGUCUUUGAAAGCAAAUGCUCCAGUUUCAACAUCAUACAGAGAUGCCGAAACAGCUGAGCGACAGGAAGCGAGUGGUGAGUCUAGUUCUUCGGUAAGAGGUUUUGAACCAAGCAUGCCUUCUGCUCCGCCUGUUGACUUGCAGGAGCAGAUGAGAAACCAAAUGAAAGAUCCAGCGAUGCGACAGGUUUUAUGUUAUACAUUUUUUUUUUACAUAUUCAGGACUCAUAAAAUGUGAUUGUAGAUGUUAAUAUAUUGUAUUUUCUCUGUUUUUUUUUUGUAGAUGUUCAUGUCUAUGAUUAAAAACAUGAACCCGGAGAUGAUGGCUAGCAUGAGCGAACAGUUCGGAAUGAAGCUGUCUCGAGAAGAUGCGGCAAAAGCUCAAGAAGCCAUGGCUUCUCUUUCUCCUGAAGCUUUGGAGAAAAUGGUACACACUCGGUUUAUGAAAAUAUUGCAGAACUGACUGUAUUGGUUAUUUCAUUUGUAACUGUUGUGUGCAGAUGCGAUGGGCGGACCGGGCGCAAACCGGGAUAGAGAAAGCGAAGAGAGCAAAGAAGUGGUUGCUAGGCAAAGGCGGGUUGAUCUUUGCAAUAUGUAUGCUCGUUUUAGCAAUGAUCCUUCAUCGUCUAGGCUAUAUUGGAAGGUAAAGAAAACGAGGAAGGUCUCUUAAGACUUAUUAUGCCAGAGAACAGUCUUUGGUUUGGGCUCGUGGUUUUGUAAAACUGUAACAUCGACUCACUCACCGACAGUUUUUCUUCUUCUUCUUCUUUCUCUAGGCUUUUUAACCUCUUUUGUCUAGUCUUCCUUCCACCUUCUGUAGUGUUUUAAAAGCUUUUAAUGUUAUUUUUUCUUUUAGAUAUUCGUUAUAUUUUAUAAAGCAUACUAUUAUUCUCCUCGUCGUACCUUUCUCGAGUAAGAGAGUAAAAUUUUUCGAGAUUCACAAAAUCAGCACUAGUGCUGCUUGUUUAAGUAUCAUCCUGGAAAGACGAGAACCAGAAACAGCAUUUCAUAAGAGAAGAAGAAUAAAAUAUCAACUAGCAAGCAAAAUCAACACUAAUGCUACUUGCAUUUUAGAAGUUUUUUUAGAAGUUUUUAAUACACUUUUGUCUAGAUAUCUUUCCAUCUUUGUUUAUUAUUGUUAAUAUUUAGAGAGAAAACAAUAUUUCUUUUCAGAUAUUUGUUACUUUUUGUAUAAACAUAAUGAUUCUUUGCUGGGACCUUCUCGACCAAGAGUGAAAAACAAAAUGUCCAGAUGAAGUGUAAACUAAAAUUACAUUUCAAAAAUAGAGGACAGAAAAAAAUCUAAGAAGGAAAAAGUACAAACACGUGUCAUAAUCUGGGACCCACUUGUUGUCUUUUCGUUUAAUGGCUUGAAUUAAAUUUACACAGAAAAAUAAAAAAGAAGGUGUCGAGAGUCAAAAGAGAACGCGCAAAGAGAAGAGAAGAGAAGAGAAGAAACGAAAGAGUCUUUUAUCUUUCCAUAUAUCUAUCUCCCUCUCCUUUAUUUCUUCUCAUCCAUUAUCAUCGGGGUGAAUCUAGGGUUUUGUUUUCUCUCGCGACACCGUGUUCCUCCUUUAUAAUCUCUCUCUCUCUCUCUCUCUUUCAUCUCCUUAGCUCAUCAUCACGACUUCAAUGGAGGUUAGGCUUUAAUCUUUGUUUUUUUCCCCUGUUGAAUUUCAUUUAUGCCAUUGAUUUGAGACAACGAAUAUUCUGCUUGUUAUUAUAUAUACAUGGUUUUUUGUUGAAUUGUACUCAAUUGCAUUGCUGAAAAGUCUUGUUGGUGUUGAAAAUUCAAUUAUAGGGAGCGGGAGGCAAGACGACGUCGUCUGACGACGGGCAUUUGACGUCAGCAGCAGCUUUUGUUCAAGGGGGAAUCCAAGAUCCUUGUGAUGAUGCCUGUAGCAUUUGUCUUGAACUCUUCUGCGAUUCUGAUCCUUCAACUGUAUGUCGUCUCAAUAUUAUAAUUUGUUUGUUUUUGAGUGACAUUGAUUGAUUACCAGUUUUUUUAUCUUUAAUCUGUCGCAGUUGACUAGUUGCAAGCAUGAGUUUCAUCUUCAAUGCAUCCUUGAGUGGUAAGAGAAAAGAUAAACUCUCAUGCCUUUUGUAUCCUUGUUUCUUGUUUGUGUGAGAGCUGAUUAGAUCAUGUGGCAUUUGUGUUUCAGGUGUCAAAGGAGUUCACAGUGCCCAAUGUGUUGGCAAUCAAUUAGUCUCAAAGAUCCCACUAGGUUCCUUCUCUCUCCUUGUAAUACAUUUUAGUUCUUUUUGUUCUGCUGGAUGUUUGAGAUAUGUGUGUGUGUUUCCCUGUUUCACCAGUCAGGAGUUGCUUGAGGCUGUUGUACAGGAGAGGAGUUUCCGCUUCAAUCCACCUAGAAACGCCACCAUAUUUCGUCAUCCAACUCUUGGUGAUUUUGAGUUACAACAUGUAUGUGUCUCUUUUAUCAUAAACAUUUUAGGUUUGGGCACAAAUUUUUUUAAAAAAACGUUUGGUUUUGUAUAUUUUUAAACAAAAACAUCAUUAACUAUCAGCUUAACCACUUUUCAACCAACAAAAAAAACGACAGAAUAUAAAAGUCAUAAAACAUAAAAAUCCAAUAAAUUAUACAUUGAAAAUUGAAAACUGAAAACCUCAUGUAAUUUAAAACAAAUUUUGUUUUUCUAAAAUGUCAUUUUUUGAAAAAAGGAGGGAGUAUCUUACAUCUCUUUUGCUAGUGGAUUAACAAGAGUGAAUAUUAUUUUAAGUUUGAUUACUUCUCUUUUGCUAGUGGGUUAACUAAAGAGAGAGCUCCAUUUUGUUACAUUUUUCUUGAAAUGCAGCUCCCAGUAGGGGUGGAUAAUGCAGAGAUUGAAGAACGUAUCAUUCAGCACUUGGCUGCUGCUGCUGCUAUGGGCCGAGCAAGACAUGGUGCAAGAAGAGAAGGUCACAGAAGCAGGUCAUCAACUCAAGGUCAUCCACAGCUCAGGGUGUUCUCUCCGCAUUCCAAUGCUUCUCCACCUCAUCCUCCAAUGCCUUCCUCUCCAUCCCAAAGAGAUGAGAGUGAAACAAUCACAAACCUUCCUAUCUCUCAUCAAAAUACUUUAGGGGAGGGAUCUCUUCAUUCAAACAUGCAGCCACCAACUUCUUCUCAACCCCGCCAGGUUUCUCCUUCAAACAGCAGGUCUCCUAAUCAGCAU